rnacentral:rRNA from 1 species
UACAGAGGGUGCGAGCGUUAAUCGGAAUUACUGGGCGUAAAGCGUGCGUAGACGGUUAUUUAAGUCGGAUGUGAAAGCCCCGGGCUCAACCUGGGAAUUGCAUUCGAGACUGAAUAGCUAGGGUGCGGUAGAGGGAAGCGGAAUUUCCGGUGUAGCGGUGAAAUGCGUAGAUAUCGGAAGGAACACCAGAGGCGAAGGCGGGCUACUGGGCCGAUACUGACGCUGAUGCGCGAAAGCCAGGGGAGCAAACGGG